ensembl:lncRNA
ACGUGACCUGCCUGACUCCCGCCUCUUCUAUGGUUUAGCCUGGUGUCGAGCGUAUUGGACAAGUAUCUGGUGACACCCUGAGUUGUCCUCUUGCAGAUAUCUUCCUGUAUUUGGGCAGAGGAGCUAUAUUUGUACUGAGGAGAUAUGCUAACCUCCGCGCUGGAGGGAUGAGGCAGUGGAUGUCAAGGACUCAGCCAACACUUCUUCUAACAGCAGUGAGCCGCAGUGUUUUCUUAUUCCUGUUUGCACUGAACAGCCCGGCCUCCUGCAUUUUCCUACCAGGGAUUAUUGCCAGGCAGAGGAGAUCAUCAAGAGACAUGGCCAGUUUCCACCACAGAGCCAGGGCAAGCCAGAGACACCAGAAAGGAGGUGAAGCACAGGCCUGAACUAGGUCUGAUGGAAUGCUUACCUCAGAAGUAACCACCCAGGGUUCCUUUAUCCAACUGGUGCAGCUGGCUGAUUCAGUCUUCUCCCUCAAGAAACCGACCUACUGAAGAUAGCAGGGAAGCAUUGCAAGGAAAUUAUCAGGGUAGGGGAGGGAGACCGGUGGAGAAGGGGAAGGGAGGGGUGGGGGAGGGGUGAGGGCGGGGGAAGGAGAGAGGUUGGAGGAGGGGGAGGAGUAGGAGGAGGGAGAAGUAGUGGGAAGGCAGCAGGAUGGAGAGGUCUGGAGGAAGGGUGGUUGGUCCAGCCCCAGCAACUGAGCUGACCUGAGGAAACAGUUUGAAACCCUCAGAGCAGGUAGGGACAGGUAAAGAAAGCCUGUUCUGAGAAAACACUGGGCAAGAGUAACCCUGGGAGAAUCUGAUAAGGACUAGGAACCUUUGAGCUGCCGAAGAACAGAGAAAGCAUUUCCAAGGGCCCGGUGAGAUCUGUGAGCUCUCGAAUUCAGCUGUAUACCCAUAACCAGGUUUGAGAAAAGCUAUGGCCUUCCUGUGGGGACAGCGCACACAUGGAGAAAGGCAGCUGCCAGACAGACACGUGAAAAAAUGUUCAGACGCAUACAUACUCCAAAGGAGAUGCUCAUGUGAACAAUGGGAUGCUUGUUUCAACUGAAAUUAACUGAGAGAAAAAGAGGAGCCUUGCACUGGCUCGGGGUGUGUUGAAAGAAGCCCUGUGUGGGGCUGGAAGGCACAGAAACAGCCGGUUAUGUGAAGCCUUGAGCAGACAGUGUGUGUCAGCAACUUUGCAUUUGCUCAUUCCCUUUGGCCCACGCGUUCCAAGCACCUCACCCAAAGAAAUAGCUAGUGAUGUAGAGAGCCGUGAAUGCUAACAUGGUGUUUACAGUGCUGUCCUUCGUAAUGUCGGAUAAGGUCAAUGUCUGACAGUAAUGACCAAAGGAAUUGCUCCUUCCUGCAGUUUAGUCACCUGCAGCCGCUACAACUUCAAUCUACAGAGUUUAUAAACCGGAAACACUGAUGUAGCCAUGUUUAGCAGCAUAAACAUUUGUAUCAAUUACAUGGAAAAAAUGCAAAAAAAAAAAAAAGCUUGAAGCUACUGUAUCAAUAUGUAACAGAGUUGUACAGUCUUGGGUUAUAGGCAUUUUUGCUUUUUUUUUUUUUCAAAAAAAAUCUUUUUCUUAGUGUUCUUUUUAAGUUAUCCAAAUAAAUUUAAAAAUAUAUAAAUGAGUGUUCUUGAAGUUUUUUUUUUAAAAAAUUACUGUCUUUAUUCAUCAACUUCAGAGUCACCAGAGAAAUCAGAUGUAAUUGACUUUUUACUUUAUUCAUUCAUUUAUUUGUUUGUUUAUUUAUUUAGGGUAUGUGGGGUACACUCGGCAUAGAAUGUUCGUGGAAGUCAGAG